GACGAACGCUGGCGGCGUGCCUAAUACAUGCCAGUAGAACGCUGAAGCGAGGAGCUUGCUCUUCUUGGAUGAGUUGCGAACGGGUGAGUAACGCGUAGGUAACCUGCCUUGUAGCGGGGGAUAACUAUUGGAAACGAUAGCUAAUACCGCAUAACAUUGGAUGACACAUGUCUUUUAUUUGAAAGGGGCAAUUGCUCCACUACAAGAUGGACCUGCGUUGUAUUAGGUAGUAGGUGAGGUAAUGGCCCACCUAGGCGACGAUACAUAGCCGACCUGAGAGGGUGAUCGGCCACACUGGGACUGAGACACGGCCCAGACUCCUACGGGAGGCAGCAGGAGGGAAUCUUCGGCAAUGGGGGCAACCCUGACCGAGCAACGCCGCGUGAGUGAAGAAGGGUUUCGGAUCGGAAAGCUCUGUUGUAAGUCAAGAACGGGUGUGAGAGUGGAAAGUUCACACUGUGACGGUAGCUUACCAGAAAGGGACGGCUAACUACGUG
rnacentral:rRNA from 1 species